rnacentral:rRNA from 1 species
CCUACGGGUGGCAGCAGUGGGGAAUAGUGGGCAAUGGGCGCAAGCCUGACCCAGCGACGCCGCGGGAGGGAAGACGGUCUUCGGAGUGUAAACCUCUUUCAGCAGGGAAGACAACAGGACGGGACCUGCAGAAGAAGCCACGGCUAACGACGGGCCAGCAGCCGCGGGAAUACGUAGGGGGCAAGCGUUAUCCGGAAUUACUGGGUGUAAAGGGGGUGUAGGCGGGUUGGAAAGUCAGAUGUGAAAAUUAUGGGCUCAACCCCUAACCGGCGUCUGAAACUACAGAUCGUUAGAGUGGGAGAGGUAACCGGCCUUCCCGGUGUAGCGGUGAAAUGCGUAGCUCUCGGGAGGCACACCCGUGGCGAAGGCGGUUUACUGGACCACAACUCACGCUGAGCCACGAAAGCGUGGGGAGCAAACAGGAUUAGCUACCCCAGUAGUC